AUCAAUCUUGGUCGUUGGCCGACAACCAGACUGCAACAUCGUCUUGACUCACUCCAGCAUCAACAGAUUCCAACUUCAAACCCUCUUCGACCCUUUUUGCCAAAAUCGUUCUCACCGAUUUGUCAACAGGUAAGAUCCUGGAGUUUUUAUUUGGCAUCCUAGACCUCAUCUCUUUUGCCAUUGUUCCUCAAAACUUUCAUAUCGGUACAUCAACUUAACUCUCAUUUAUUUCAACAGCUCAACUCUCUUUCUAUUUCAAACCUAAAGAUUGAUUAUUUUUCUUUUUUCUCUGUUUUUAUUUUCCUCGGAAAAACACAAUCUUUGUCGAAAAAGUUUGAAUUUGCCCAUCCCUGAGAUUUUCUUUGUGGGUUUUGGUUAUCGGGUUGCGAAUUUAAAAGGGUUUUGUCUUUGGAAGGAGAUGGAUAUCGGUGGCGAUGAUCGAUGUUCGUUGUUGUGUGGAUGA
rnacentral:lncRNA from 1 species